CACCGCCGCAUAUACGACACGGACAGAGCGGCGCAGUUUGGCUAUCUGGCGCACGUUCGUGUGCUCCCACUCAUAACUGGCGGCAGCACGUUUCAGAGCCGCAAACCAAGACCGAACAUCGUUGGCCGCCUAUCAAAAAGCAACGGGGAGCAGUGAAACUGCAAGCUCAGUGGUUUCUGCAUUCUGACUCCUCCACAGUGCUGCCACCAUGGCCAAACAUCGAAUAGGCGCCGUCAGAACAUUGCAGACCCUGAGCCUCCUCGCCACCACGGUGGCCUACACGACGGCACAUGUGUAAUUCUGUCGUCGCUCGACAACCACUGAAAUGGAAUGUGAUGGCAGUUCUUUGUGGUG